AGACCAUGAUGAGGACAAUGCCUAAGUAAUUCCUUAUAUCUUUCCCAAGCUUCGUACAACGAUUUAGAAUCUUGCUGCAUGAAUGGCGUAAUAUCAUUCCUCAUUUU
rnacentral:snoRNA from 1 species